rnacentral:lncRNA from 10 species
UGGGAUUACAGGCGUGUGCCACCAUGCCCAGCUCAUUUUUGUAUUUUUUAGUAGAGACAGGUCUUGAACUUGUCUUGAACUCCUGACCUCAGGUGAUCUGCCUGCCUCGGCCUCCCGAAGUGCUGGGAUUACAGGCAUGAGCCACCCCAACUGGCCCAAAAGUGAAUUGUUUCUGAAUGAUCUUAUUCAAGAAGCCUAGUGAAGAGGACUGCAUCUAUGGUAGAGGUGCACUGUUCCCAGGAGAGAAGGCACUGCGGUAAUCAUCUCGGUGUUCUGUGGAAAACAGUGUGGACUCCUGUCAUGCAUUGGGCAAUAUUUAUUAUUGCUUAACAAGGUUUACAGAUAAGACUGGGAAUGUUUUGAUUUAUGUUUUCCUUCUGUGUGAGAAGAGUUUACUAACCACCUGACAGUAUUCAAGUAACUAUUUAGAAAUGACUUCUUUUUUGUCUUUAUUUAUUAUUAUGGUAGAAAAAUUCUCAAGAUAAUCUAUUUUCAAACUAAUCAUUUUAUUUCUCUCCCAUUAAUCUUAAAGUGGAAAUGGGCAGAAAGAAAAAAUAGAUUUAAGUAUUUCUAUACCUGAAACUAAUUUUACUAUAUGCUCUGAGAUUCCUAGCAUAACAACUGUGAACUCAUAUUUUAUUGUAAAAAUAUUUUCAGUAUACAGUUAGUAUUUGAACUCACUAGGUUUUUAAAUGUUAGACACACAAGAUGAGCAUCAAUAUACAACACCUAUCUUUAUAAAUUGUUAUAUUCAAGAGUUAUUAUUGCAGAUUGGAAGGUACUUUGUUCCUUUGCGUAAAAGUCUUUUUUUUUUUUUGUAGAAACAGAGUCUUACUCUGUCACCCAGGCUAAAGUGCAGUGGCAUGAUCUCAGAUCGCUGCAACCUCCGCUUCCCGGGUUCAAGCGAUUGUCUUGCCUCAGCCUCCAGAGUAGCUGGGAUUACAGGUGCCCGCCACCACUCCUGGCUAAUUUUUGUAUUUUUGGUAGAGACAGGGUUUCACCAUGAUAGCCAGGCUGGUCUUGAAUUCCUGGCCUCAAGUAAUCCACCCACCUCGGCCUCCCAAAGUGCUAGGAUUACAGGCAUGAGAAACCACAUCCAGCUGAAAGGCAUUUAAUUUAUAGUUUCCUCCCUCAGCUCUCCCCAAAUACAGGGGUCAUGAGAGGUAUAGAGAAGACAGAAUAGAUAUUCAAUUAGAACUCUGCUCAACCUUAUCUUAUAACUGUUACCUUUCAGUAUUGAUCAGUUAUUUCUAUUUUUGAGAUUUAAAUAGGCAUAGAUUUUCUUUUGUUUUCUUUUUCUUCUAAAUUUUUUUCUUGCCACACCCAGGGGCAGCCUCGAAUUAUUUUGUUUUUAAGUUCACCUUUUAGACUGAUUUGCCUACCUACUCCCUCCUUCUUUCCCUUUCUCCCUCCCUCCUUCCCUUUUUCCCUUUUCUUUUUUUUAAGAUGGAGUCUCAUGCUUGUUGCCCAGGAUGGAGUGCGGUGGCACAAUCUCGGCUCACUGCAACCUCCGCCUCCCAGGUUCAAGCGAUUCUCCUGUGUCAGCCUCCCGAGUAGCUGGGACUACAGGCACGCACCACCACUCCCAGCUAAUUUUUGUAUUUUUAAUAGAGACAAGGUUUCACCAAGUUAGCCAGGCUGGUCUCAAACUUCUGACCUUGUGAUCCACCCACCUCGGCCUACCUAAGUACUGGGAUUACAGGCGUGAGCCAGUGCACUGGCCUAUUAUCUCUUUUUAACAAAGAAUUAAGAAAUCUAAUAUUCUUUCCCAAGAUCGUACAAAGAAUUGUGGCAAAUUAGGAAUUAGAUUUUUGUCUUAAUUCAAAACCUGGUAUUUACCCCAGUGUGCCAAACAGCUUUAUAAUGAAGACAACAUUAAUCAAGCAUCACAUUUUUAAAGGCAUAUAUCUAUUUUUUUGGCUAUGCAAAAAACCUUGUCUCUAUUAAAAAUACAAAAAUUGGCUAGGCAUUUCAAAUGUGAUACAAUAAAAUAUUAACACAAAAGUAAUUUCUAUUUAUAAAAUUUAAAAUGGCAGGUUUUCUGUGUGACGUUUGAGUUUGAGAUGAUUUGACUGGCAUGAGGCCCAUCAUUGGGAGGUAAAAAUUACAGCACAAAGAAAACUAAGCAGGUGCAUAUGAGGUAUUGUCUCUUUAUGCUCAUCAAAAAAUAAUCUCCAAAAGAAAAGUUAAAAAAAUUAUUGUUAUAAAUUGCAUGAAAUACAUAGUGGGCUCGAUUCAUAGCCCCCGUCCGUAUCUAUAUCUCUAUAUCUAUAGAGACAUAACUUCUUUCUUC